UACAGGGGGGGCAAGCGUUGUUCGGAAUUACUGGGCGUAAAGGGCUCGUAGGCGGCCAACUAAGUCGGAUGUGAAAUCCCCAGGCUUAACCUGGGAACUGCAUCCGAUACUGGAUGGCUUGAAUCCGGGAGAGGGAUGCGGAAUUCCAGGUGUAGCGGUGAAAUGCGUAGAUAUCUGGAGGAACACCGGUGGCGAAGGCGGGUCUCUGGGCCAUUACUGACGCUGAGGAGCGAAAGCGUGGGGAGCGAACAGG
rnacentral:rRNA from 1 species